UGAUCCGCACACGCCUGUUCUCAGAAAUUUGCAGCACAAUAUUGUUAUCCAAGACAUACAACGAAUUGUCCAUGGGAUUGACUGCAAGAAGGUUGUACCAGUUGCUGUUGAGACCACAUUGGAGACAGGGAGGGAGCUUGGAGGCUUCUGCAGCAGUUCAGGGGUAGAAGAUGAUUUUAAAUCUCAUAUUUAGAGACAUACAAAAGUGACACUACAUUCCAGCUUAAGCUCUGCAAUCACCAUGUCACUUCUUGAAAACAUAAAGUAAAUGAAGGUUUUGAGGCAACAGUCAAUGACUAUCAUGAACUAGAUGGAGCUUCACAUCAGCAUUAGGGAAAUGAAAUAUUCUGUGAAGGUCAAAGCAGGUUACGACCAGUCCUUGGAGCACAUGUUUGCUACAGCUUACCAAAUGCACAUACACAGGUAUGCUUCUCUGCAAAAAGUACACGGCUGUGAAAAUUACUUUUUCUAGAUCCUUCUUAUUCCCAAUCUGUAAAUUACGAGUUAAUUUUUCUGUUUUGUGAUUGCAAAGUCAAAUGCUACUGAUAUUGGUACUGCUACUACUGUUACGACUCCUAUGCUACUAGUAAUAAUAUUCUAUUGAACACUUAUGAACCACUUUGCUAAGUGAUUUCUGCAUAUCACCUCAUGGAAUCUUCAUACCCUCACUAUGAAAAAGGUAGCAAUAUCAUACUCAUUUGUACAUGAAAAAUUGCUGAUGAUAAAGAAUUCCCCCCUGCCCAGCGGCCUACAUUAAUUGUGAAUCCAGGUUGGUAUAAUUUGUGGAGGGGAAGGGAAAAAACAAAGUGUUUAAAUAG